UACGAAGGGGACUAGCGUUGUUCGGAAUCACUGGGCGUAAAGCGCACGUAGGCGGACUCGUAAGUCAGGUGUGAAAUCCCGGGGCUCAACCUCGGAACUGCCUUUGAUACUGCGGGUCUUGAGUCCGAUAGAGGUGAGUGGAAUUCCUAGUGUAGAGGUGAAAUUCGUAGAUAUUAGGAAGAACACCGGUGGCGAAGGCGGCCCACUGGAUCGGUACUGACGCUGAGGUGCGAAAGCGUGGGGAGCAAACAGG
rnacentral:rRNA from 1 species